ACACGUAGGGGGCGAGCGUUGUCCGGAAUUACUGGGUGUAAAGGGUGCGUAGGCGGCCUUGCAAGUCAGAUGUGAAAGAUCACGGCUUAACUGUGGUAAGCAUUUGAAACUGUAAGGCUUGAGUGCAGGAGAGUGGAAUUCCUAGUGUAGCGGUGAAAUGCGUAGAUAUUAGGAAGAAUAUCAGUGGCGAAGGCGGCUCUCUGGACUGCAACUGACGCUGAGGCACGAAAGCGUGGGGAGCAAACAGGAUUAGAUACCCUGGUAGUCCACGCUGUAAACGAUGAGUGCUAGGUGUCGGGGGUCAUACCUCGGUGCCGCAGUUAACGCAUUAAGCACUCCACCUGGGGAGUACGGCCGCAAGGCUGAA
rnacentral:rRNA from 1 species